AAGCUCACAUGGAAGAACUCUCAAUACAGGGAGAGACUACAUACCUACUGGGUGACUCAGGGUAUCCUCUCCGGUCAUUCAUGAUGACUCCAGUGGACCAUGCAGUAGACGACUCACCUGAAGGGCGCUACAAUAUAAUUCAGAAACGUGCCCGUUCCACUGUAGAGCGCACAUUUGGAAUACUAAAAGGGAGAUGGAGAUGCUUAUUAGCCGCCAGAGAAUUAAAUUACACUCCUGAGACCGCUGGCAAAAUUGCAAUUGCAUGCAGUGUAUUGCACAACAUGUGCAUACAUGCUCGGCUCGACCAUCCUGAAUUAACAGAGGAGGACCUCGCAGCUGAGAACGCCCUGCCCAUUCCCCAGCAAGCUGCAAUUCCACAAGGACGGGCAUUGGAGGAAGGAAGAAGAGUAUGCAGAGUACUAAUACAUUUAUUAGAGGCAUAAUAUGCCCCUGGCUUUGUAUGGAUAUACUUAUAUAAGACAAAACAAUCCUUAUUGUGAGGUUGUAGAAGAGAUUACUUUUAGUAAUACGGCCACUGAUUGUACUAUUUCUUUUCUAUGUUUGUGAAACUGUUUCUGUUUGUGUGCAAUAAAGAGUAUUUUAUCUUUACCUACCUAUAUUUUUUUAAUUUUCAUUGUUUCUGUUAUGAAUGUGUUUCUAUUAUAUCCAUAAAAAUAUGGUUUUACCGAUCCUAAGAUACUUACUUUGUGUGGAUACAUCUAUUCAUGCUAACACACUUAUUUAUAAAGAAUAAAACAAUUUUUCUAAAUGAGAGAUUUUUAUUUUUUGGUUUCAGUCAAAUAUUGCUACUUAUUGCUUAAACACUGAUAAAAUGCACUGUUUUCGCGCAGCCCCCCAAAGCAUUCAGCUUUUGGGCGAUUUCCUGCCACAGGCGAUUGCUUCGCACUCUCCCAUCUACGCUCCUCAUACGACCGCGCGCGAGGUCUUGGUGC